AAUCGAUCGAAGCAGUUAUACACUCACACUGGUGGAUCGAAAAGCUUGGCAAGGCUCGGAGAAGAAGAGUCGGAACGACAAGGGCGUCCAGUUAGUAGAGGGGAGUUGCUUGUCUUAACGCACAAACGAUCUAAUGGCUCCUAUCUCCAUGAUGCAGCUCGGGCUAUUGGUGUAAGAAAGAAUUGCGGAGAUUGAGCAACAUGAUGAAUCAUCUAAACCGUUGUCUCAUAAUGAUUCGCUUGCUCAAGCUCUUGGAAGGGAG